rnacentral:rRNA from 1 species
AUACGUAGGUGGCAAGCGUUGUCCGGAUUUAUUGGGCGUAAAGCGAGCGCAGGCGGUUCUUUAAGUCUGAUGUGAAAGCCCCCGGCUCAACCGGGGAGGGUCAUUGGAAACUGGAGAACUUGAGUGCAGAAGAGGAGAGUGGAAUUCCAUGUGUAGCGGUGAAAUGCGUAGAUAUAUGGAGGAACACCAGUGGCGAAGGCGGCUCUCUGGUCUGUAACUGACGCUGAGGCUCGAAAGCGUGGGGAGCAAACAGGAUUAGAUUCCCUGGUAGUCCACGCCGUAAACGAUGAGUGCUAAGUGUUGGAGGGUUUCCGCCCUUCAGUGCUGCAGCUAACGCAUUAAGCACUCCGCCUGGGGAGUACGGCCGCAAGGCUGAAACUCAAAUGAAUUGACGGGG